rnacentral:antisense_RNA from 1 species
UGACCUGAGAUAUCGGGGGUAGGGGUUGCUCUGCUUGUGUAAGUCCCAGAGUGUGAAGGCCAGAGAACCAAGAGCUCCAAUGUCCCAGCUCAAGAAGAGAGAAAACUUUUGUGGAUAGCUAAGUUACUGCUGGCCAUCUGAUUAUAGCAAUGGCUUCCAGGAGCAUCACGACCUGUGCAGACUCACCAGCAUCAUAACAGGAGGGUCCCACGAUCAUGAGCACAUUGCCUUCAGCAUCUAGCACUGAAUAUGGUGAAUUGCACUCUGAAGAGCUUCCUAAGCUUAUAAGAAAGUGAUUCUGAAAAGCUCAACAUUUUGGUAGAAUGGAGAGAUUUGACAUUGCUUCUGCUCCAAAAGCAAAAGACUUGGGAAGGGCACCCUGGGAGUUGAGAACAUCCACCACAGAGAGGUAAGUUCCUACUUGGCAGUUUGCCGCAGCAAUUACCACCUCGUGCUCCAUCACUACCUUUCCACUCCGUCUCCCACCCUUACACCAGGCUUGUGAUUCAAAGGCCUUCAGGCCAGGGGUAACAAACUAUGGCCUGUGGGCCAAAUCUAAUCCACUGACUGUUUUCCAAAUAAAGUUCCACUGGAACACAGGCAUA